UCUCCCUAGGAGAAAGAAACAUAUGCCGUGUUUUCAGAUUUCUUCAACCAUUUUUUUGAAGCACACCGUUCUGAUUGGAGAGGUUGAGCAAAUGAAGAAGCUCCUCAAUAAAGCUUUGGCAAACAAAA